CUCUUAUCCAGAGUGGCGGAGGGACUAGGCCCUGCGAUGCCCGGCAACCAACGAAAAAUUUUUCGGAAAGGUGCUAAUUCCUACAGAUUGAUUUUAAUCUGAAAGAUAAGAG
rnacentral:ncRNA from 1 species